rnacentral:rRNA from 1 species
UACGUAGGGUGCAAGCGUUGUCCGGAAUUAUUGGGCGUAAAGAGCUCGUAGGCGGCUUGUCGCGUCGGCUGUGAAAACCCGGGGCUCAACUCCGGGCCUGCAGCCGAUACGGGCAGACUAGAGUUCGGCAGGGGAGACUGGAAUUCCUGGUGUAGCGGUGAAAUGCGCAGAUAUCAGGAGGAACACCGGUGGCGAAGGCGGGUCUCUGGGCCGAUACUGACGCUGGGGUGCGAAAGCAUGGGGAGCGAACAGG